CGUAGGGCGCAAGCGUUGUCCGGAUUUAUUGGGCGUAAAGAGCUCGUAGGCGGCUUGUUGCGUCGGCUGUGAAAACCCGCGGCUUAACCGCGGGCUUGCAGCCGAUACGGGCGGGCUGGAGUUCGGUAGGGGAGACUGGAAUUCCUGGUGUAGCGGUGAAAUGCGCAGAUAUCAGGAGGAACACCGGUGGCGAAGGCGGGUCUCUGGGCCGAUACUGACGCUGAGGAGCGAAAGCGUGGGGAGCGAACAGGAUUAGAUACCCUGGUAGUCCACGCUGUAAACGUUGGGCGCUAGGUGUGGGGAGCCUCUCCGGUUCUCUGUGCCGCAGCUAACGCAUUAAGCGCCCCGCCUGGGGAGUACGGCCGCAAGGCUA
rnacentral:rRNA from 1 species